rnacentral:rRNA from 1 species
UUACUGGGUGUAAAGGGCGAGUAGGCGGAUUGGCAAGUUGGGGGUGAAAUGUCGGGGCUUAACCCGCGGAACUGCUUCCAAAACUGUUGAUCUUGAGUGAAGUAGAGGUAAGCGGAAUUCCUGGUGUAGCGGUGAAAUGCGUAGAGAUCAGGAGGAACAUCGGUGGCGAAGGCGGCUUACUGGGCUUUAACUGACGCUGAGGCUCGAAAGCGUGGGGAGCAAACAGGAUUAGAUACCCUGGUAGUCCACGCUGUAAACGAUGAUUACUAGGUGUGGGGGGACCGACUCCUUCCGUGCCGCAGUUAACACAAUAAGUAAUCCACCUGGGGAGUACGACCGCAAGGUUGAAACUCAAAGGAAUUGACGGGGGCCCGCACAAGCAGUGGAGUACGUGGUUUAAUUCGAAGCAACGCGAAGAACCUUACCAGGUCUUGACAUCGAGUGGCGUAUACAGAGAUGUAUAUUUCCCUUCGGGGACACGAAGACAGGUGGUGCAUGGUUGUCGUCAGCUCGUGUCGUGAGAUGUUGGGUUAAGUCCCGCAACGAGCGCAACCCUUAUCAUUAGUUGCUACGCAAGAGCACUCUAAUGAGACUGCCGUUGACAAAACGGAGGAAGGUGGGGAUGACGUCAAAUCAUCAUGCCCUUUAUGACCUGGGCUACACACGUACUACAAUGGCAAUAAACAGAGGGAAGCAAGAUAGUGAUAUGGAGCAAAUCCCAAAAAAUUGUCCCAGUUCAGAUUGCAGGCUGCAACUCGCCUGCAUGAAGGUGGAAUUGCUAGUAAU